CACACACACACUUCUGUCCCACCCACUUCUUCAAAGUUAUCUAGGCUACGCCACUGAGAAAGACCCAUCUCUGAACACUGUGAAGCAAAGCUGACUUCUGUCUUAUUUAUCGGUCAGUUUGAGAUUGAGAAACCAGAAUGUCUCACACUGUCAUACCCAUGAACUCUUCAACACUCGUCAUUCAGCUGCAACCAGCAACACAAACAGCUCCUGGGUCGACGGACACAAAUGCUCCUGAGAUGACGGGAGUUUCACCUCUUCUAGGAAUUCAGGCAUUUCUGAAAGGACAACCAAAAGCCCUUGGGACGGUCCAGAUAAUGAUCGGUGUGAUGACUCUCCUGUUUGGCAUUGUGUCUACAGUUUAUGCUGAAGCCAUCUUUAUCCAUACUGGUAUUACUUACUGGGGAUCUCUCAUCUACAUUGCUGCAGGCUCACUCAGCAUUGCUGCAGAAAACAACAAAGAAAAACCCUCCGGUUUGUGUUUGAUGAAUGCUUCACUGGGAAUGAACAUUUCCAGUAUUAUAACUGCAGGGAUUGCCAUUGUUUACCUUUCACUAGAUUUUGUUUUAUGGCGAUACUAUGACUGCAGCGAUUUUUCCUGUUAUUUAGAGCAAAAGUAUAAGACUCUCUUCAGGGGAAUCAGAGGUGUUAUAAUGUUAUUCACUGUGCUCGAGUUUAUCAUCUCCAUCUGUCUGUCAGCAUUUGCUUGUAAAGCCAGCGCCUGCCAUUCUCCUUCUCUGGUGCAGUUUGCGCAGGUUUUAUCACCACAGUCCUCUGAUUUCACGCGUUUACAUGAUCUUAAAAGCUCAGAGAUACCUGAGGCAAGCAGCUCUUCCAUUCAUCACCAGCCUGCAGACACUCCUCCACAAUACAGUGAAUCCAAAUAAAUAUGAAUGAGUGGACUGUUACCUGUUAUGAGAGAAAAUAUAUGGGAAUGUAUUAGAACAGUGGUUCCCAAACCUUUCCUGGAGGACCCCUUGGCUUGCACCUCUUGUAUGUGUCCUUCAUCUAACACACCUGAUUCCACUCAUCAGUUCAAUAGUAGAGACUGUGAGAACUAAAUAAGUUGUGUCUGAUUAGGGAAACAUACAAAGGUGCAGGGCAGUGGGUCCUCCAAGACAGGUUUGGGAACCACUGUAUUAGAAAAUAUAAUGCGAUAUAUUAAAUAAUAUAUUUAUAUAUAUAUUGUUAUUGUUAUGUUAUAUUUUUCUACAUACUGCAAUAUAUACUGCACCACAAUUUUACAUGUAAUAGCUUUAUUAAAACUCAAUUUCGAUUUCAAAAGUUAAUGCUUAGGUUCACAUAUAGGCGAACACAAACUUUUCUCUCACUUUAUUGUUUGCAUAGUUACACAUUUCAUAUAUGAAAAUAUUUGUGAUGUAUAAAAGAAAACUGUACUGAAAAGAUAAAUAAAAGUUUUGGACUUUUAGACGA